ACGCUCGACACCUACGGAGGCAGCAGUGAGGAAUAUUGGUCAAUGGGCGCUAGCCUGAACCAGCCAAGUAGCGUGAAGGAUGAAGGCUCUAUGGGUCGUAAACUUCUUUUAUAUAAGAAUAAAGUGCAGUAUGUAUACUGUUUUGUAUGUAUUAUAUGAAUAAGGAUCGGCUAACUCCGUACCAGCAGCCGCGGUAAUCUGAGCGGGCUGGCAAGGC
rnacentral:rRNA from 1 species